GAGCAAGGGCGUCAAUUUUUCAAUGACGAAGCUUUUCCCUUGCAUUGAAGGUUGGCUAUACUAACAUUUGAGAAGCGAUUCUCCGUGCCUUUCAAAUUCCUUACUGUUUUGAUUACGGCCUCGAACAAAUCGCUACAUG